AUACGUAGGUGACAAGCGUUAUCCGGAUUUACUGGGCGUAAAGGGCGUGUAGGCGGUCUUGCAAGUCAGAAGUGAAAUUCCUGAGCUCAACUCGGGCGCUGCUUCUGAAACUGCAGGACUUGAGUGCUGGAGGGGAUAGCGGAAUUCCUAGUGGAGCGGUGAAAUGCAUAGAUAUCACGAAGAACUCCGAUCGCGAAGGCAGCCUUCCGGCCCGUCAACGACGCUCAUGCUCGAAGGUGCGGGUAUCAAACAGGAUUAGAUACCCUGGUAGUCCGCACAGUGAACGAUGGACACCCGCGGUUUGGCCUGUAUGGCUGAGCCGCCAAGCGAAAGCGUUAAGUGUCCCACCUGGGGAGUACGCCGGCAACGGUGAAACUCAAAGGAAUUGACGGGG
rnacentral:rRNA from 1 species